GGAAAGGCCCGGGCUCAAGGGGGGGGGGGGCCAGGUAACGCCGGGGGGGAAACCCCACGACCAGUGCAAAAGAGAGAAAACCGCCGAUGGCCCACGUAAGUGGGAUCAGGUAAGGGUGAAAGGGUGCGGUAAGAGCGCACCGCGCGGCUGGUAACAGUCCGUGGCACGGUAAACUCCACCCGGAGCAAGGCCAAAUAGGGGUUCAUAAGGUACGGCCCGUACUGAACCCGGGUAGGCUGCUUGAGCCAGUGAGCGAUUGCUGGCCUAGAUG
rnacentral:RNase_P_RNA from 1 species